rnacentral:rRNA from 1 species
UACCAGCACUAAAGCACCGGAUCCCAUCAGAACUCCAAAGUUAAGCGUGCUUGGGCGAGAGUAGUACUAGGAUGGGUGACCUACUGGGAAGUCCUCGUGUUGCAUUCC